CGAGUUUAGAGCCCGCCCAUCUCGAUAUUGGUGGGAAAGAUCAUUCGGAUAUUGGGUAGAUCCGAGUAGAAAGGGGUUAGUUGGAUGGAGAUGUGAAAUUUGGUUAAGAGACGGACAGAGAGCGAUUGGUGGUUUGGUUUAGGUGCCAAAUUUCUACGGAUGGAUCCUCGAGUUCUAUGGUCGUCGUACCAUACUUGCACGUAAAUACUAGUAAAGGAAAUAUCUCUCUCUCUCUCUCUCUCUGCUUAACAAGGAGGAGGAGGAAAAUGGAUCCAAACAUUAUUUUAACUACUAAUAAGAGGAGGUUAACAUAAACGAAUAGUGCGUGGAGUACUAUUAUUAUUUAAAAUCAAUCAAUCCUCAAUCAAUGUGUGUCCUCCUACCACGUGGACCCGUUGAUGCCACCAGCCGCCACAUGGUUGUCUCUACUCUAGUUUACCAAUAUUACUCUUUUGGCCCCUAUGUAUUAUUAUUGGGGGGUUACCGACACCCAUAGUGGGGGGAGGGGCAGUUUAGUUAUUUAUAUUAAAAAAAUCUCCCGUAUGGAUUCAUGCAUGUGAUAACUUUUUUGUUUUUUUGUUUUUAUUUGUCCCAUCUAUUAUCAUGAUUAUGUGAUAGUAGUAUCAUGUUAAGUAGUAUUUAUCUACUUUAUUGAACUGACGACCGGUGGUGGACCUGUGAUUGACAGAUGGCAAAUCACUGCCGCCAUGACUCACGGGAACAAGUGUGACUCAGCUGCAAAUAUUGGAUGGAAGCUAUCAACCUCACUGACUUUCUUUGGCGGAGGUGGCUGACCGACAGAUAUGAGUUGAGCUUUUGGACAUAAUUAUGUCCAAAAUCGUUCGAUUCACGUAGUCUCGCAUACAUUGGACGGGCCGCGUCCUUGAUGGGAAAAUGAGAAAUUAUGCACUUACUACGAGAAAUAAUGUUCACUCUCUUUUUCGAUUAUGGCACACAUUUUCUUGUCUUUUAGUGAGAAAAAUAUACACAAAAACUUCGCUAAAAGAUAAGAAAUGGAGUGUCAAUAAAAAAAUGGUGUAGAAAUUAUUUUUCCUACUUGUUUUUGUAUUUAUAAAAAUAAAAAUAAAUUGUUUUGUAACAGUUCUGAAAUCAUGACAUGGAGAGGGUAUGUUAAAGUCUCCAGAAAUUAAUUUUGUAAAAGAUCAUGAGAAUAUUAGAAAUGUGUUUUGAGCUCAAAGUCUCAAGCCCUGAAGCAUUGGGCCGGAAAGCCUAACAUAAGGCGCAUAUAAGCCUUGGGCUAGACUUCACAACUUUUUAAAGUAACAGGCCGGCCUUAUCGUGAUACAGUGGGAGCAAUUGAGUUUGGGCUGGGACAGGUCUACCCCGAUAAUGAAUGGGGCCAGUCCAGCGUGCGAAGCAGCCUCUUUAAUUUGAGAUCAAUUUAAAACCUCUAAAAUUGUAUUUUUUUUCAAGUCAAUUGUAUAUACUCUUAUUCACCUCUUAUCUAUGGAUCUAAUUUUUAUGAUGUUUCAUUACUUAUGAAAGUAGUGAUUGAGAGAGUUGUGAGAGAGAAUACAUAUAAUCUAGUAGGAGUUGAUGUUUCUCUUGCAUGUAGAUGAAAGGAUGAUUAUGCCCUUUUCCUCAUUAAAUGAGGUGGCUUAAUGGGACCCGCAUCGACAAGGGUUCUCAAGCAAUUGAGUGCAUUAGGGUUCCAAGACAAAUAUGGGUUGGAGCAUGCGAUGAUGUGCUUAUGGGCCUCCUAAAUAUGAUUCAGUAUCACAACCCUUUCACUAUUAGAAUGCAUCUUGGGGAUGAUUUUAAGGGUGGUCUAAAACAGUUUUAUGUAAGGGGAAGCGAGACAUGCCUUGAUUUCUAUUAGAAUGCAUCUUGGGGAUGAUUUUAAGGGUGGUCUAAAACAGUUUCAUGUAAGGGGAAGUGUGACAUGCUUUGAUUUUUGUUGGAGGAGGGAGUGAAGAUGGAAGAUAGGGUCUCAAGUCUGCGUAUAAAUAAGAAGAAUUGGGGAUUUUUCCCUCCAACUACAAUAUCCUUUGGGUAAGAGAAGAGGAAGGGACACUCACGUGUUAAUUUACCCUCCAAACGCAGGGCCAUGGGGACAAGUAAGCAUCCUACAUCAAACAAUUGAAGGAAACAAAACGGCGUGGGUUUAAUUGAUGAAAUGUUGAAUAGUUUAGAGAUGUAAUUGACAUUUAGUGAAGUUUGAAGGUUUAUGAAACA